GUUGAUACAGUGGAAGGCUUGUGGUGUUGCUGGCCCUUGAUCGCUGGAAGGAUUCCGAGGUGAAAAGGACAACAACCUGUGUGGGUUCCCUCCCGACAACUGAAAUUGCACCAUAACUCCCAAGAAGAAACACUCCCAGAAACAAAAGGCAAAGACCCCUCUGAAACCAAAGAGCAAGUAUCACCGCCUGACACAUAAACUUCAUGACCUCGACAUUGAGACAAAAUCUCGCCGUGUGACCUACAACACCACUCAUUUAACUCCACCAACUUGGGGUCAAAUAAAGGUCUUAUCCCAUCAACAGAAAAAUCAUUAAGAGAAAAAUGAAUCCCCAAAACGACAGUCUGCAGAUCCCGCAAGGAAUCCGAAGACAAGUCCAAAGUCAACGACAAGCAAUGAUGGCAAUGGUGAUCCUAGUUAAUAAAAAGCGGGGAGAUGUGGGUGGCAAGCCACCCAGGUGCCGAGGCAAGAGACCGAGAGCACGAGCUGUUCCAGUGUAAUAAAAUAUAUAAAAUAACAAGAGUUAUACUGAUAUAGCUCAUAGAUAUGAUUAUAUAUAAAUACCAUUAAUCAUUAGUUUGUAGUAAUUACUCUUUAUUCAAAUAUUAUAAUAAUCCUCACUCUACAAUCAUAACCUAGAAAAAGGCAGGCCAUGCAGAGAUAGGAGCUGAGGGGACAUGGUGAGAAGUGACAAGAAGACAAGAGUGUGAGCCUUUUGUUAUGCCCAGGCAGGGCCACCAGAGGGCUCCUUGGUCUAGCAGUAAUGCCAGCGUCUGGGAAGAUGCCCGUACCAAGCGGACCAUGGUCUAGUGGUAGCGUCAGUGCCAAGGAAAAGCACCUGCUACUGAGCAGACCAGGAAAGGGAGUCUCCCUUUCCCCAGGGGAGUUUAGAGAAGACUCUACUCCACCAUCUCUUAUGGAGGGCCUGACAUAAGUCAGGCCUGCCUGCAGUUAUCCAGAGGCCUGACCGUCUCCCUGUGAUGCUGUGCUUCAGUAGUCAUGCUCCUGGUCUGCUUUCAUGUUCCAUCCUGUACACCUGGCUCUGCCUUCUAGAUAGCAAUAGCAGAAUUACUGAAAGUAUUAAAAGUCUCUGAAAUGCAGAAAUAAUGGUGUAAGCUGUCUCUCCUCUCUCUCCGCCUCGGCUGCCAAACAGGGAAAGGCUCCCUUUCCAGUGGAUGCAUGACCCACGUGACCUUACCUAUCAUUGGAGAUGGCUAACACUCC
rnacentral:lncRNA from 10 species